rnacentral:rRNA from 1 species
CCUACGGGAGGCAGCAGUGAGGAAUAUUGGUCAAUGGCCGGAAGGCUGAACCAGCCAAGCCGCGUGAAGGACGAAGGUGCCAAGCAUUGUAAACUUCUUUUGUCAAGGGACGAAAUCAGGCUCGAGAGCCUGACCGAGGGUACUUGAAGAAAAAGCAUCGGCUAACUCCGUGCCAGCAGCCGCGGUAAUACGGAGGAUGCGAGCGUUAUCCGGAUUUAUUGGGUUUAAAGGGUGCGUAGGCGGUUCGAUAAGUUAGAGGUGAAAUCCCGGGGCUCAACUCCGGCACUGCCUCUGAUACUGUCGGGCUAGAGUUUAGUUGCGGUAGGCGGAAUGUAUGGUGUAGCGGUGAAAUGCAUAGAGAUCAUACAGAACACCGAUUGCGAAGGCAGCUUACCAAACUACGACUGACGUUGAGGCACGAAAGCGUGGGGAGCAAACAGGAUUAGAUACCCGUGUAGUC